rnacentral:rRNA from 1 species
GACGAACGCUGGCGGCGUGCUUAACACAUGCAAGUCGAACGGUAAGGCCCUUCGGGGUACACGAGUGGCGAACGGGUGAGUAACACGUGGGUGAUCUGCCCCGCACUUCGGGAUAAGCCUGGGAAACUGGGUCUAAUACCGGAUAGGACCCUGGGAUGCAUGUCCUGGGGUGGAAAGCUUUUGCGGUGUGGGAUGGGCCCGCGGCCUAUCAGCUUGUUGGUGGGGUGAUGGCCUACAAAGGCGACGACGGGUAGCCGGCCUGAGAGGGUGACCGGCCACACUGGGACUGAGAUACGGCCCAGACUCCUACGGGAGGCAGCAGUGGGGAAUAUUGCACAAUGGGCGCAAGCCUGAUGCAGCGACGCCGCGUGAGGGAUGACGGCCUUCGGGUUGUAAACCUCUUUCAGCACCGACGAAGCGCAAGUGACGGUAGGUGCAGAAGAAGGACCGGCCAACUACGUGCCAGCCGCCGCGGUAA